UACGUAGGGUGCAAGCGUUAAUCGGAAUUACUGGGCGUAAAGCGUGCGCAGGCGGUUUUGUAAGUCAGAUGUGAAAUCCCCGGGCUCAACCUGGGAACUGCGUUUGAAACUGCAAGGCUAGAGUAUGGGAGAGGGAGGUAGAAUUCCACGUGUAGCAGUGAAAUGCGUAGAGAUGUGGAGGAAUACCAGUGGCGAAGGCGGCAUCCUGGACCGGUAUUGACGCUGAGGCGACGGAAAGCUAGGGUACGCAAACGGGG
rnacentral:rRNA from 1 species